AUGAACGCUGGCGGCGUGCCUAAUCCAUGCAAGUCGAGCGAACAGACGAGGAGCUUGCUCCUCUGACGUUAGCGGCGGACGGGUGAGUAACACGUGGAUAACCUACCUAUAAGACUGGGAUAACUUCGGGAAACCGGAGCUAAUACCGGAUAACAUGUUGAACCGCAUGGUUCAACAGUGAAAGACGGUUUUGCUGUCACUUAUAGAUGGAUCCGCGUCGCAUUAGCUAGUUGGUAAGGUAACGGCUUACCAAGGCAACGAUGCGUAGCCGACCUGAGAGGGUGAUCGGCCACACUGGAACUGAGACACGGUCCAGACUCCUACGGGAGGCAGCAGUAGGGAAUCUUCCGCAAUGGGCGAAAGCCUGACGGAGCAACGCCGCGUGAGUGAAGAAGGUCUUCGGAUCGUAAAACUCUGUUAUUAGGGAAGAACAAAUGUGUAAGUAACUAUGCACGUCUUGACGGUACCUAAUCAGAAAGCCACGGCUAACUACGUG
rnacentral:rRNA from 1 species